UGUGGUUAAAAAGCUCGUAGUUGGAUCUCGGCGGUCUGAGGGCGGUUCGCUUGAUUGAGUGCUACUGCUCUAUAGGCCGUGGUUUUGCCAGAGGUCUCGGGGUGCUCUUAACCGAGUGUCCUGCGAUGCUGGCAGGUUUACUUUGAAAAAAUUAGAGUGCUCAAAGCAGGCUUUUACGCCUGAAUAUUCGUGCAUGGAAUAAUAGAAUAGGAAGUCGUUUCUAUUUUGUCGGUUUUCGGAAAUCGACUUAAUGAUUAAUAGGGACAGUCGGGGGCAUUUGUAUUCAAACGACAGAGGUGAAAUUCUUGGACCGUUUGAAGACAAACUACUGCGAAAGCAUUUGCCAAGAAUGUUUUCAUUAAUCAAGAACGAAAGUUAGAGGUUCGAAGGCGAUUAGAUACCGCCCUAGUUCUAACCAUAAACGAUGCCAGCUAGCGAUCUGCCGACGUUUUCUUUGUAGACUCGGCAGGAAGCUUCCGGGAAACCAAAGCAUUUGGGUUCCAGGGGAAGUAUGGUUGCAAAGCUGAAACUUAAAGGAAUUGACGGAAGGGCACCACCAGGAGUGGAGCCUGUGGCUUAAUUUGACUCAACACGGGAAAUCUCACCAGGCCCGGACACUGGAAGGAUUGACAGAUUGAUAGC
rnacentral:rRNA from 1 species